rnacentral:lncRNA from 1 species
GUGGCCAUGCAUAAAAGAUGACACAUGAUGGCGGGGCUCGGGGUAUGAACUGGGCACUCGACAAGCAUGGGGGUGCCAACACAGUGAAACUCUUGGAUGCAAGGCACAGAGAUAUUGACUAGGAGGAGACAGCUACCACUACUACUGCUGCUUUGAUUUGAAAGGUAUUAUUGGGACAGGAGUAAGUUGGAAGGUCACUGGAACUGUGGGAACAGAGAGUUACAGAUGUCAGAGUAUUCCCAGAAAGGUGGAUUUGGAAUACAGUAGCAGCUGGUUCCAGAACCCCCCUGGCCUCCUGUGCACACACCGAACACCAGGGAACCUGCUCUCCGACCAGCCCCAGCCACCUGAGCCCAAUAACAGGAGCCUGACUUCUUCCUAGGCUACUUAACAGACAAAAGCAGGGGCUCCAGGGGCUGGUCCUGCAUCUCUUUAUUAAAAAAGAAAAGCAAUACCCAAAGGAAAGCAUUUCCUUCUCCCCUGGAGAAUCUUCCCGGCUUCAUCCCCCACAUGCCUCCUGCCCACCUUCCAUAGACCCAGUUUACACCAGAUGGGCAGCACAGGGGUCACUCAAGGAGUGGCUUGAAGGGGUCAAUCAGAAAGGGCCAUCACUGGCCCUGCUCAGGCCUGCAGCACUGGCCUGCAGCUAGCCAGGGCUCUGAAUGGAUGCUGCCCCCAUCAAGUACCUACAGUUUUGGACCUCUCUGACUGACCUUAGGAGAGAACGGAUAGCACAUGACAUUAGGGAUUCCUGUCUCUGCACGUGACUUGUCAGGGGAACCUUUCUCUGAUGUUCACACGACUCGGGAACUUGUCACAUCUUCCAUCUCCUGGAACGUCCUCACCUGAAAUUGAAAGGUUGAACACAUCAUAGAGAAGAGAUUUUGGCAUGCCUUUCCCAUGAAUGCUUAGCAAAUGCAUCAGAACUUUGCCAGCAAACUGCAUUCAUUCAUAGCAGG